rnacentral:rRNA from 1 species
GCCUUUCGCGGCAUGUGCACGCCUGAGCCAUUUUCAUCCAUACACACCUGUGCACUCACUGUGCGGGCCCGUAACAAAGGCCCGCACGUCUUAUCACCUACUUUGCAUGUCUGAUUAGAAUGUAACCUUUGACGUCGCCGCCUUAAAAAAGUGGUUGACGAAAAAAAUACUUAAUACAACUUUCAACAACGGAUCUCUUGGCUCUCGCAUCGAUGAAGAACGCAGCGAAAUGCGAUAAGUAAUGUGAAUUGCAGAUUUUCAGUGAAUCAUCGAAUCUUUGAACGCACCUUGCGCUCCUUGGUAUUCCGAGGAGCAUGCCUGUUUGAGUGUCAUUAAAUUAUCAAUCGCGAAAGGCUUUUUCUGGUCUUUCGGGGCUUGGAGUUGGAGGCUUGCCGGCGUGAGUCGGCUCCUCUUAAAUGUAUCAGCGAAAAUACAAACCUUUUGUUGGCUUCGGUGUGAUAAUCACGUUGCGCCGUUGCUU